rnacentral:rRNA from 1 species
GACUCUCGGCAACGGAUAUCUCGGCUCUCGCAUCGAUGAAGAACGUAGCGAAAUGCGAUACUUGGUGUGAAUUGCAGAAUCCCGUGAACCAUCGAGUCUUUGAACGCAAGUUGCGCUCGAAGCCACUAGGCCGAGGGCACGCCUGCCUGGGCGUCA